AUACUUACCUGGCAAAAGAGUCACCAUGAUCAGUCAGGUGGUUUUCCCAGGGCAGGGCCCAUUCCCUGCACUCCGGGUGUGCUGAUCCCUGCGAUUUCCCCAGCUGCGGGAAACUCAACUGCAUAAUUUGCAGUAGUGGGGGACUCUCA
ensembl:snRNA U1 U1 spliceosomal RNA